AUUGAACGCUGGCGGCAUGCUUUACACAUGCAAGUCGAACGAUGAAGCCUAGCUUGCUAGGCGGAUUAGUGGCGAACGGGUGAGUAAUACAUCGGAACGUACCCUGUAGUGGGGGAUAACUACUCGAAAGAGUGGCUAAUACCGCAUACAACCUGAGGGUAAAAGAGGGGGGACCGGAAGGCCUCACGCUAUAGGAGCGGCCGAUGGAAGAUUAGGUAGUUGGUGGGGUAAAGGCUCACCAAGCCGACGAUCUUUAGCGGGUCUGAGAGGACGAUCCGCCACACUGGGACUGAGACACGGCCCAGACUCCUACGGGAGGCAGCAGUGGGGAAUUUUGGACAAUGGGCGAAAGCCUAAUCCAGCAAUGCCGCGUGAGUGAAGAAGGCCUUCGGGUUGUAAAGCUCUUUUGUUUGGGAAGAAAUCCUAAAGAAUAAUACUCUUUGGGGAUGACGGUACCAAAAGAAUAAGCACCGGCUAACUACGUGCCAGCAGCCGCAGUAACAC
rnacentral:rRNA from 1 species